GCUUGAAUAGUUUAAAAAAAACGUUGGUUUGUGGGGCCAAAAAUAUGACUUAUUUAUUUUGAGCA
rnacentral:tRNA from 1 species